rfam:Cavia porcellus supercont2_66 genomic scaffold, whole genome shotgun sequence.
GGGAAUUUAGCUUAGUGGCAUAAGUGCCUGCCUUGCAAGCAUGUGGUCGUGAGUUCAAUCCCCA